AUAAAUGGACCCUUUCACUUGAAUGACACACUCGUAUUCAAGUUUGAUCCCCCAAACGACACGACAUUUCCUCACAGUGUUUACCUGCUUCCAAAUUUAUGGAGUUUCCAAAACUGUGAUUUGAGAAGAGCAAAGAAGAUCGCACAAGCGACACAAGGAGGAGGAGAAGGUUUUGAGUUUGUGCUUAAGACAUGGCAGCCCUAUUAUUUUGCCUGUGGCGAACGCAACGGAUUUCAUUGCAAAACUGGGAUGAUGAAAUUUGUCGUUUGGCCACUCUUCCGUUGGUAUUAACGGCCAAAAAACUGCUUCGUACAAUUACACGCGCGCGCGCGCUCUUCGAGCUAUAAUUGUGUUGCUCAAUAUAUAUUUUCUUUUCCGAGGACUGGUUUGAAUAAUGUUUUGAACAAAUAAAGGUAGAUGUCUGUCUUAAUUAGAGCAUUAAUUUCAUGUAUUGGAGAUUUGUGUUUUGUUUCCCUUUAAAGUUCGAUCUUUUCUUCUAUGAAACAAGUUAUUUAGAGCAUAAUGUUA